GGGAAAGUGACUCAGUGGUAGAGUGCUUGCCUUGCAUGCCUGAGGCCCUGGGUUCGAUUCCCCAGCACCA
rnacentral:tRNA from 1 species